rnacentral:misc_RNA from 1 species
UUUUUUUAUUUGGAAAAUGAAAUUAUGAAUACAAAACGUUUAUUACAUGACUCCAGGAUAUCUAUACUGCUUCAAAAAGAAGAAGCUGACUAUGGCAACACAUAUAUAAACAUAUAAUUAACACUAGGAGAACACGUCUAAAAUAAUAUUCCGACGUAACAUCUUGUUUUUUUAAAUAACAGAACCAGGCGCACACUCUAUACCCUGAUGGAGCAAUCUAGUCGGCUGGCUACUAAAAUCUUCGUGCUACUUCGUUAUUAUCAUUAUUAUUAUAUGCUUAAUAUAUAAAUUCACACCUCCGUUCUGAUUCUUUGCGUUUUCAUUGCCAUGAAAUUGAUUAACAGGGUGCCAGUGAUGGGGAGACUAUUGGGGCGAUCGUGUACUUCACUGGAUGAACUGGUCCUGGUGCAACAAAACCAGAGCUCCGGAUAUCAGCCAUCAAUCCUCUACGAGCAUUUCCCUCUUGUGCGGACUCACAAAGCUUUGGAAGAAAUACACCUUCUCCAGCGGCGAGAUUGAAGUAAAGAUCAACGAUGUUGGGGCAGCUAUCGUAGCACUGAGGAGAGCAGAGCUGCUGUGUGAAGCGAGACUCGAGGAGAGAAUCUGAUGAGAUUCCCAGUGAUUUUCUAUCGAGACCACAUGCUUUUAUGCAUUGGUCAGUUUCGAUCCAGUUCCUUAAUCUAUCGGCUUCAAUUUCAGAUGUACGGCAAGUGUAUGAUUCUUCUCCGCUUCUUUUGACGUGCUUCUCGAGCACACAGCGCUUGCCGGUGGAUGAUAUUGCGUAAGAACAUGUCUCUUGGUCGAGAUGCUCACAUAUUAUUUCUCCUAGAGUGCCUCGCGCACAGAGAACAAGGGCAAGAGCCAGGACUGCCAGUGCCAGGGUCUUGAAGCAAGCCAUAGGAACAGUUCUAAAGGGAAAUAGUAUGCUUGGUGGCCAGACUUGAACUGAGGAUACAAUGUUGGCAACAGGGUUUGUGCUAGGCCAAGGAGC